rnacentral:rRNA from 1 species
UUGAACGCUGGCGGCAUGCCUUACACAUGCAAGUCGAACGGCAGCGCGGGGGCAACCCUGGUGGCGAGUGGCGAACGGGUGAGUAAUAUAUCGGAACGUACCCUGGAGUGGGGGAUAACGUAGCGAAAGUUACGCUAAUACCGCAUACGAUCUACGGAUAAAAGUGGGGGCUCGCAAGACCUCAUGCUCAUGGAGCGGCCGAUAUCUGAUUAGCUAGUUGGUGGGGUAAAGGCCUACCAAGGCGACGAUCAGUAGCUGGUCUGAGAGGACGACCAGCCACACUGGGACUGAGACACGGCCCAGACUCCUACGGGAGGCAGCAGUGGGGAAUUUUGGACAAUGGGGGCAACCCUGAUCCAGCAAUGCCGCGUGAGUGAAGAAGGCCUUCGGGUUGUAAAGCUCUUUUGUCAGGGAAGAAACGGUGAUUUCUAAUACAGAUUGCUAAUGACGGUACCUGAAGAAUAAGCACCGGCUAACUACGU